rnacentral:rRNA from 1 species
UACGGAGGAUCCAAGCGUUAUCCGGAUUUAUUGGGUUUAAAGGGUGCGUAGGCGGCCUAUUAAGUCAGGGGUGAAAGACGGUAGCUUAACUAUCGCAGUGCCUUUGAUACUGAUGGGCUUGAAUACACUUGAGGUAGGCGGAAUGUGACAAGUAGCGGUGAAAUGCAUAGAUAUGUCACAGAACACCAAUUGCGAAGGCAGCUUACUAAAGUGUGAUUGACGCUGAGGCACGAAAGCGUGGGAUCAAACAGG